rnacentral:piRNA from 1 species
UCGUGUUAGUAAAUAACCACU